UACGAAGGGGGCUAGCGUUGCUCGGAAUUACUGGGCGUAAAGCGCACGUAGGCGGCUUUUAAGUCAGGGUGAAAUCCUGGAGCUCAACUCCAGAACUGCCUUUGAUACUGAGAGGCUUGAGUCCGGGAGAGGUGAGUGGAACUGCGAGUGUAGAGGUGAAAUUCGUAGAUAUUCGCAAGAACACCAGUGGCGAAGGCGGCUCACUGGCCCGGUACUGACGCUGAGGUGCGAAAGCG
rnacentral:rRNA from 1 species